GUUGCUGCUGUAAACAGCAGUGGCUCUCCCCACCUCUCUCCUAAACCUGUUUGCAUAUCUUCUAUGCUGGCCACGCCCCUUCUGUUCCUUUCCGGUUCUCCCUGGUCUGAGCUACACUGAUUUUCCUCUUCUAUCUCUGGCUUCGGAUGCUUGCAGUUUAUGUUUUUCACGGCUCUUCAUAUGACUGAGAGCAUUCCCUGAGAGUACGUUCAAUGUCGAAACUUCUGCAACAGAGGCGUUUAUUUCUCUACAGACACCCAGGUAGUUUAUGACAGAGCUGGAAAUCAAAUGCAAGGCUUUGGACUCGGCUCAGUUUUCACUGUAGUUCAGCUGCCCGGUGCUCUAAUUCUGUUUUUGCAAAUCUCCUCUAUUCUAAUUUUUUCUGCCCCCUUUACUACCAAAUAUGGGUUCUUUAUCAUUGUAAGCUAAUGUGCUGGUUGAAAUGGCUGGACUCCUGGUCAUUCUGAUAAUGGCCAGCUGGGCCACUUUCCAAAAACAUGGCUUUCAUAUGCCCAGUCGUCCCCAUCAUUGUAGAUAUUUCUACCUUCAGUGCCUACCAAGUAUAGUACAGGUACUAUACUACUAAACUCUUUAUAUUUCUUCAAUGUAACACACUUAGUACACUGACCCAAGACAAACCUCAAGUCAAGAAGACUGAGUCUUCCUAAGUAAGAUUUGUUUAACAGGAUGCUUAGGGUGUUCACCAGUUCUGUUAUUGUGACAAUGUAUCUGAUAUAAUCAGCUUGAAUAGAGGAAGGGUUUAUCUGGGCUCAACAAUUCUGGAGUAUUUCAGUCUACAGUCAGUUGGCCUGCUGCUUUUGGGCCAGUGGCACAAGGCAGGACCCAGGGUCACCCUCUUCCCCUUCCUCUCACAGAAUUGGUUCCCAGUGACCUAACAUCCUUCCCUUCGGCUUCUGGACCUCUGAGACUGUUGCCACUAUGAGCUGGGCAACCAAGCUGGUAAUUUCGAGGCCCCCAGGGCAUGCUCCAUAACUAAUCUAAAGCAGUGAACUAUAGACAGUAAGCAGGGCAUGACAGUUCAUGCGUUGACCCCAGCACUUGGGAGACAGAGAUGGCAGGUGGAUCUCUGUGUGUCCAGCCUGGUCUACAGAGCAAGGUCUAGGUUAGCCAGGGCUACCAUAGUAAGACCUUGUCUUAACAACAGCCCAGUAAGUUCAGAGGCAGGGGAAUGGCUCACUAAGUAAGAGAGCUUGUUGGGUGGAUGUGAGGCCAGAGUUUGAAUCUCCAGCACCCUUGUAAUAGCUGGGCAUGGCUACGAGUGCCCUUGUAGAGAGCAGGAUGGCAGAUCCCCAGAACUCCUUGGCCAGCAAGCCUAGCCGAAAGGGUAAACUUCAGGUUCAGUGACAGACCCAGUUGGUUUCCAAGCCAGAAGACAGAGAGUAACGGAGGGAAGUACUUCAGUGUCCUGCUGUGGCCCCCACAGGAGCAGGGGUGGGAAUCUAUCCACGCGCACCACAGGCACACAACAUAAGUUUAAAUCUGCGAUUCAAAUCCAUCUGGUAAGUUUUUCUUCUACAGAGUUUGCUUCUUAGAGAUGCUGGCUGAACCGCUAUGAAUGUAAACUGUAGAAAUCACGUAAAUAAUUAUGUAAGUGAAGAUCGCUUGCAGUUUGGCUUAAAACUUUUUUUUUUUAACAUUUCAGUUCGGCAGAACGUUCUGGAGAGAGGGAAUCAUGAGUUAGUGUGGCAAGAAAAAGGAACAUUCAAGUUGACUGUCCUGAUGCCCACAGACCCUGAGGAAGCCUCAGCCUCU
rnacentral:lncRNA from 1 species